UACAGAGGUCUCAAGCGUUGUUCGGAUUCAUUGGGCGUAAAGGGUGCGUAGGUGGCGCUGUAAGUCAGGUGUGAAAUUUCGGAGCUUAACUCCGAAACUGCAUUUGAUACUGCGGUGCUCGAGGACUGGAGAGGAGACUGGAAUUUACGGUGUAGCAGUGAAAUGCGUAGAGAUCGUAAGGAAGACCAGUGGCGAAGGCGGCUCACUGGCCCGUUACCGACGCUCAGGCGCGACAGCGUGGGGAGCAAACAGG
rnacentral:rRNA from 1 species